UACGUAGGGUGCGAGCGUUGUCCGGAAUUAUUGGGCGUAAAGAGCUCGUAGGCGGUGUGUCACGUCGGCCGUGAAAACCUGGGGCUUAACUCUGGGCGUGCGGUCGAUACGGGCAUCACUAGAGUUCGGCAGGGGAGACUGGAAUUCCUGGUGUAGCGGUGGAAUGCGCAGAUAUCAGGAGGAACACCAAUGGCGAAGGCGGUUCUCUGGGCAUUACCUGACGCUGAGGAGCGAAAGUGUGGGGAGCGAACAGG
rnacentral:rRNA from 1 species